rnacentral:rRNA from 1 species
AGACUCCUACGGAGGCAGCAGUAGGGAAUAUUGGACAAUGGGCGAAAGCCUGAUCCAGCAACGCCGCGUGGAUGACGAAGCAUCUUGGUGUGUAAAAUCCUGUCAGUGGGGACGAAACGUAGAGGUAGGAAAUGACCUUUACCUGACUGUACCCGCAGAGGAAGUUCCGGCCAACUCCGUGCCAGCAGCCGCGGUAAUACGGGGGGAACGAGCGUUGUUCGGAUUUACUGGGCGUAAAGGGCACGCAGGUGGGAAAAUAAGUCAGAUGUGAAACCCCAAAGCUUAACUCUGGGACUGCAUUUGAUACUGUUUUUCUUGAGUACGAGAGAGGAUGGCAGAAUUCUUGGUGUAGCGGUGAAAUGCGUAGAUAUCAAGAAGAAUACCGGUGGCGAAGGCGGCCAUCUGGCUCGAUACUGACGCUCAGGUGCGAAGGUCGGGGGAGCAAACAGGAUUAGAUACCCUGGUAGUCCCGACAGUAAACGAUGGGAACUAGGUGUUGGAGGUAACGACCCCUCCAGUGCCGCAGCUAACGCAUUAAGUUCCCCGCCUGGGGAGUACGAUCGCAAGAUUGAAACUCAAUGGAAUUGACGGGGGCCCGCACAAGCAGUGGAGUAUGUGGUUUAAUUCGACGCAACGCGAAGAACCUUACCUGGGUUUGACAUGCAGGAGAAAGCAUCAGAGAUGAUGCCUCGGCUUCGGUCGCUGCUGCACAGGUGCUGCAUGGCUGUCGUCAGCUCGUGCCGUGAGGUGUUGGGUUAAGUCCCGCAACGAGCGCAACCCCUAUUCUUAGUUGCUAUUCUGUCAAAAGAGGCACCCCUAGGAGACUGCCGGCGGUAAGCCGGAGGAAGGUGGGGAUGACGUCAAGUCCUCAUGGCCCUCACGUCCAGGGCUACACACGUACUACAAUGGUCGGUACAGAAGGCUGCAAGACCGCAAGGUGGAGCCAAUCCCGAAAACCGACCUCAGUUCAGAUUGAAGUCUGCAACUCGACUUCAUGAAGGUGGAAUUGCUAGUAAUCGCAGAUCAGCACGCCGCGGUGAAUACGUUCCCGGGCCUUGUACACACCGCCCGUCAAGCCAUGGAAGCUGGGAGUACCCGAAGCCGUUUGCCUAACCGCAAGGAGGGCGACGUCUAAGGUAAGACCGGUGACUGGGGCUAAGUCGGAACAAGGUA